UACGUAGGGUGCAAGCGUUGUCCGGAAUUAUUGGGCGUAAAGAGCUCGUAGGCGGUCUGUUGCGUCGGCUGUGAAAACCCGAGGCUCAACCUCGGGCCUGCAGCCGAUACGGGCAGACUAGAGUUCGGCAGGGGAGACUGGAAUUUACGGUGUAGCGGUGAAAUGCGUAGAUAUCGUAAGGAAGACCAGUGGCGAAGGCGGGUCUCUGGACAGUUCCUGACGCUGAGGCACGAAGGUCAGGGGAGCAAACGGG
rnacentral:rRNA from 1 species